AUUCAAUGGGAAGUUGGAGGGCUUGGUUUCACAGCUGAACAAGGAGCUUCUUGGACUCAAGAUGCUGUUUACAAGAAAUGCUUAUGACGUUUUCCAUGAUAUCAUCAGAAGACCUUCUCAGUACGGUAAGCUCUACUAAAUUAAUGCUUAAUUAUGUCAACUAAUUACGUAUAUAUGUGUUCUUUCUUUAUAAAUUUGUGCACAUGCCCAUUCCUUAAUAGAUUAAACAGCUUGAGCAAGUCUAGCAACUUUUUUUGGGGGGAAGCAAGUCUAGUAAUUUACUAAUUCGUAAGCAAUAAGAAAUAUGAAUUAUCUGUGUGCUUUCCUUGUUCCGUGUGUGUUUUUAACCAAUUAAAAAAAAAUUUACUUCUAUUAUACUAAAAUAGCUAACACUUAUAA
rnacentral:misc_RNA from 1 species